UUUGGCCUCGNUAUCGGAGUCCGAUUUAGCNUGCUAGUUGCACGAGUUUAGACUCGUAGCAUAUAGCUCAGUAACACGUGGCCAAACUACCCUACAGACCGCAAUAACCUCGGGAAACUGAGGCCAAUAGCGGAUAUCACUCUCAGACUGGAGUGUCGAGAGUGAGAAACGUUCCGGCGCUGUAGGAUGUGGCUGCGGCCGAUUAGGUAGAUGGUGGGGUAACGGCCCACCAUGCCGAUAAUCGGUACAGGUUGUGAGAGCAAGAGCCUGGAGACGGUAUCUGAGACAAGAUACCGGGCCCUACGGGGCGCAGCAGGCGCGAAACCUUUACACUGCACGACAGUGCGAUAGGGGGACUCCGAGUGUGAGGGCAUAUAGCCCUCGCUUUUCUGAACCGUAAGGUGGUUCAGGAACAAGGACUGGGCAAGACCGGUGCCAGCCGCCGCGGUAAUACCGGCAGUCCGAGUGAUGGCCGAUAUUAUUGGGCCUAAAGCGUCCGUAGCUUGCUGUGUAAGUCCAUUGGGAAAUCGACCAGCUCAACUGGUCGGCGUCCGGUGGAAACUACACAGCUUGGGGCCCGAGAGACUCAACGGGUACCUNCGGGGUAGGAGUGAAAUNCUGUAA
rnacentral:rRNA from 1 species